AUACGGAGGAUGCAAGCGUUAUCCGGAUUUAUUGGGUUUAAAGGGUGCGUAGGCGGUUUGCUAAGCGGGAGGUGAAAUGCCGGCGCUCAACGUCGGAAGUGCCUCCCGAACUGGUGGACUUGAAUGACUCUGCCGUGGGAGGAAUGUGUAGUGUAGCGGUGAAAUGCUUAGAGAUUACACAGAACACCGAUUGCGAAGGCAUCUCACGAAGGGUUGAUUGACGCUGAGGCACGAAAGCGUAGGGAUCAAACAGGAUUAGAUACCCUGGUAGUCCACGCAGUAAACGAUGAUGGCUAACCGCUGGGCUUAUCAGUUCAGUGGCCAAGCGAAAGCGAUAAGCCAUCCACCUGGGGAGUACGACCGCAAGGUUGAAACUCAAAGGAAUUGACGGGG
rnacentral:rRNA from 1 species